rnacentral:rRNA from 1 species
UACGGAGGGUGCGAGCGUUGUCCGGAAUCACUGGGCGUAAAGGGCGCGUAGGCGGCCUGGCAAGUCGAUGGUGAAAGCCCGAGGCUCAACUUCGGGUCGGCCACUGAUACUGCUGGGCUUGAGUCGACUAGAGGCAGAUGGAAUUCCGGGUGUAGCGGUGGAAUGCGUAGAGAUCCGGAAGAACACCGGUGGCGAAGGCGGUCUGCUGGG